rnacentral:rRNA from 1 species
AGAGUUUGAUCCUGGCUCAGGAUGAACGCUGGCGGCGUGCUUAACACAUGCAAGUCGAACGGAGAUAGCGAGAAGCUUGCUUCUUUCUAUCUUAGUGGCGGACGGGUGAGUAACGCGUGGGUAACCUACCCUGUACAGGGGGAUAGCAGUUGGAAACGACUGAUAAAACCGCAUAAAACGGCAGUACCGCAUGGUACAACCGUCAAAUAUUCAUAGGUACAGGAUGGGCCCGCGUCUGAUUAGCUAGUUGGUGGGGCAACGGCCUACCAAGGCGACGAUCAGUAGC